rnacentral:rRNA from 1 species
UACGAAGGGGGCUAGCGUUGCUCGGAAUCACUGGGCGUAAAGCGCGCGCAGGCGGCUAUCCAAGUCAGUGGUGAAAGCCCGGAGCUCAACUCCGGAACUGCCAUUGAAACUGUUUAGCUUGAGGACGAGAGAGGUGAGUGGAAUUCCCAGUGUAGAGGUGAAAUUCGUAGAUAUUGGGAAGAACACCGGUGGCGAAGGCGGCUCACUGGCUCGUAUCUGACGCUCAGGCGCGAUAGCGUGGGGAUCAAACAGG